rnacentral:misc_RNA from 1 species
UACGGAGGGUGCAAGCGUUACCCGGAAUCAUUGGGCGUAAAGCGUCCGUAGGCGGUCUAUUAAGUCGGAUAUAAAAUCUUGGAGCCCAACUCCAAGGCUUGUAUCUGAAACUGGUAGACUAGAGUCUUCCAAAGGUACGUGGAAUUCUGUGUGUAGGGGUAAAAUCCGUAGAUACACAGAGGAACACCAAAAGCGAAAGCAGCGUACUGGGGAAGUUCUGACGCUGAGGGACGAAAGCGUGGGGAGCGAACGGG